ACUUAUAGCCAUACCACACUGAACACACCUGAUCUUGUUUGAUCUUGGAAGCUAAGCAGGCUUGGGCCUGGUUAGUAGUUGGGUGGUUGACUGUUUGGGAUUACCAGGUGGUGUAAGCU
rnacentral:rRNA from 1 species